GAUGAACGCUGGCGGCGUGCUUAACACAUGCAAGUCGAACGAUGAAGCCCAGCUUGCUGGGUGGAUUAGUGGCGAACGGGUGAGUAACACGUGAGUAACCUGCCCUUAACUCUGGGAUAAGCCUGGUAAACUGGGUCUAAUACCGGAUAGGAGCGUCCACCGCAUGGUGGGUGUUGGAAAGAUUUAUCGGUUUUGGAUGGACUCGCGGCCUAUCAGCUUGUUGGUGAGGUAAUGGCUCACCAAGGCGACGACGGGUAGCCGGCCUGAGAGGGUGACCGGCCACACUGGGACUGAGACACGGCCCAGACUCCUACGGGAGGCAGCAGUGGGGAAUAUUGCACAAUGGGCGAAAGCCUGAUGCAGCGACGCCGCGUGAGGGAUGACGGCCUUCGGGUUGUAAACCUCUUUCAGUAGGGAAGAAGCGAAAGUGACGGUACCUGAAGAAGAAGCACCGGCUAACUACGUG
rnacentral:rRNA from 1 species